rnacentral:rRNA from 1 species
GGAUCCAGACUUUGAUUAUGGCUCCUUAUGAACGCUGGCGGCGUGCCUAACACAUGCAAGUCGAACCGAGAUGCGAUGUGAGCGAGAGGUGCUUGCACUGAUUAAUCUUUUCGUAUCUUAGUGGCGGACGGGUGAGUAACGCGUGGGUAACCUGCCUUAUACCGGGGGAUAACACUUAGAAAUAGGUGCUAAUACCGCAUAAGCGCACGGUGUCGCAUGACACAGUGUGAAAAACUCCGGUGGUAUAAGAUGGACCCGCGUCUGAUUAGCCAGUUGGCAGGGUAACGGCCUACCAGAGCGACGAUCAGUAGCCGGCCUGAGAGGGUGAACGGCCACAUUGGGACUGAGACACGGCCCAAACUCCUACGGGAGGCAGCAGUGGGGAAUAUUGCACAAUGGGGGAAACCCUGAUGCAGCGACGCCGCGUGAGUGAAGAAGUAUUUCGGUAUGUAAAGCUCUAUCAGCAGGGAAGAAGAAAUGACGGUACCUGACUAAGAAGCCCCGGCUAACUACGUGCCAGCAGCCGCGGUAAUAC